rnacentral:rRNA from 1 species
CCUACGGGAGGCAGCAGUGAGGAAUAUUGGUCAAUGGGCGAGAGCCUGAACCAGCCAAGUCGCGUGAAGGAAGAAGGUCUUAUGGAUUGUAAACUUCUUUUAUAGGGGAAUAAAGAUGAGUACGCGUACUCAGUUGUAGGUACCCUAAGAAUAAGGAUCGGCUAACUCCGUGCCAGCAGCCGCGGUAAUACGGAGGAUCCGAGCGUUAUCCGGAUUUAUUGGGUUUAAAGGGUGCGUAGGCGGGUUGAUAAGUCAGUGGUGAAAGGUUUGCGCUCAACGUAGACAUUGCCAUUGAAACUGUCAGUCUUGAGUACAAAUGAGGUAGGCGGAAUGUGUUGUGUAGCGGUGAAAUGCAUAGAUAUGACACAGAACACCAAUUGCGAAGGCAGCUUACUGGGAUGUAACUGACGCUGAGGCACGAAAGCGUGGGGAUCAAACAGGAUUAGAUACCCUGGUAGUCCACGCAGUAAACGAUGAUUACUAGCUGUUAGCGAUAGAAUGUUAGUGGCUAAGCGAAAGCGAUAAGUAAUCCACCUGGGGAGUACGACCGCAAGGUUGAAACUCAAAAGCUGAAUUGACGG